UACGGAGGAUCCGAGCGUUAUCCGGAUUUAUUGGGUUUAAAGGGUGCGUAGGUGGUCUUAUAAGUCAGUGGUGAAAGUUUGCGGCUUAACCGUAAAAUUGCCAUUGAAACUGUAGGACUUGAGUACAAAUGAGGUAGGCGGAAUGUGUUGUGUAGCGGUGAAAUGCUUAGAUAUAACACAGAACACCAAUUGCGAAGGCAGCUUACUGGGAUGUAACUGACACUGAGGCACGAAAGCGUGGGGAUCAAACAGGAUUAGAUACC
rnacentral:rRNA from 1 species